rnacentral:rRNA from 1 species
UGGGGAAUAUUGCACAAUGGGCGCAAGCCUGAUGCAGCCAUGCCGCGUGUAUGAAGAAGGCCUUCGGGUUGUAAAGUACUUUCAGCGGGGAGGAAGGGAGUAAAGUUAAUACCUUUGCUCAUUGACGUUACCCGCAGAAGAAGCACCGGCUAACUCCGUGCCAGCAGCCGCGGUAAUACGGAGGGUGCAAGCGUUAAUCGGAAUUACUGGGCGUAAAGCGCACGCAGGCGGUCUGUCAAGUCGGAUGUGAAAUCCCCGGGCUCAACCUGGGAACUGCAUUCGAAACUGGCAGGCUAGAGUCUUGUAGAGGGGGGUAGAAUUCCAGGUGUAGCGGUGAAAUGCGUAGAGAUCUGGAGGAAUACUGGUGGCGAAGGCGGCCCCCUGGACAAAGACUGACGCUCAGGUGCGAAAGCGUGGGGAGCAAACAGG